CGGUUGAUCCUGCCGGAGGCUAUUGCUAUCAGGGUUUGACUAAGCCAUGCGAGUCGAGAGGUGAAAGACCUCGGCAUACUGCUCAGUAACACGUGGAUAAUCUGCCCUCAGGUGAGGAAUAAUCCCGGGAAACUGGGGCUAAUCCCUCAUAGGAGACGGGUGCUGGAAUGCUCUGUCUCUGAAAGGUCCGCCGCCUGAGGAUGAGUCUGCGUCCGAUUAGGUUGUUGUUGGGGUAACGGCCCACCAAGCCAUUGAUCGGUACGGGUUGUGAGAGCAAGAGCCCGGAGAUGGAUUCUGAGACAUGAAUCCAGGCCCUACGGGGCGCAGCAGGCGCGAAAACUUUACAAUGCGAGCAAUCGUGAUAAGGAAACCCUGAGUGCCUGUCAAUGCAGGCUGUUCUGGUGUUUAGUCAGCACCAGGAGAAAGGGCGGGGCAAGACCGGUGCCAGCCGCCGCGGUAAUACCGGCUGCUCGAGUGAUAGCCGCUUUUACUGGGCUUAAAGCGUUCGUAGCUUGGUCGUUAAGUCUCUGGGGAAAUCUUUUGGCUCAACCAAAAGACGUCUCAGAGAAACUGGCGACCUUGGGACCGGGAGAGGUAAGACGUACUUCGGGGGUAGGAGUGAAAUCUUGUAAUCCCCGAGGGACGACCGAUGGCGAAGGCAUCUUACCAGAACGGCUCCGACAGUGAGGGACGAAAGCUGGGGGAGCAAACCGGAUUAGAUACCCGGGUAGUCCCAGCCGUAAACGAUGUGCGUUAGGUGUGUCAGUGACCACGAGUCACUGAGGUGCCGAAGGGAAACCGUGAAACGCACCGCCUGGGAAGUACGGUCGCAAGGCUGAAACUUAAAGGAAUUGGCGGGGGAGCAC
rnacentral:rRNA from 1 species